rnacentral:rRNA from 1 species
UACGAAGGGGGCUAGCGUUGUUCGGAUUUACUGGGCGUAAAGGGCGCGUAGGCGGUGCAAUAAGUCAGGCGUGAAAGCCCCGGGCUCAACCCGGGAAUUGCGCUUGAUACUGUUGCGCUUGAAUCCAGGAGAGGAUGGCGGAAUUCCCAGUGUAGAGGUGAAAUUCGUAGAUAUUGGGAAGAACACCACGUGGCGAAGGA